rnacentral:rRNA from 1 species
AGUGAACGCUGGCGGUAGGCCUAACACAUGCAAGUCGAACGGCAGCACAGUAAGAGCUUGCUCUUACGGGUGGCGAGUGGCGGACGGGUGAGGAAUACAUCGGAAUCUACUUUUUCGUGGGGGAUAACGUAGGGAAACUUACGCUAAUACCGCAUACGACCUACGGGUGAAAGCAGGGGAUCUUCGGACCUUGCGCGAUUGAAUGAGCCGAUGUCGGAUUAGCUAGUUGGCGGGGUAAAGGCCCACCAAGGCGACGAUCCGUAGCUGGUCUGAGAGGAUGAACAGACACACUGGAAGUGAGGAACGGUACAGACUCCUACGGGGGGCAGCGGUGGGGAAUAUUGGACAAUGGGGGCAAGCCUGAUCCAGCCAUACCGCGUGGGUGAAGAAGGCCUUCGGGUUGGAAAGCCCUUUUGUUGGGAAAGAAAAGCAGCAGGUUAAUACCCCGCUGUUCUGACGGUACCCAAAGAAUAAGCACCGGCUAACUUCGUG